ACGACGACGACGAUGAUGAUGACGGUGAUGGUGAUGGUUAUGGAAAUCUGGGAGAUGUUAGUGGAGAUGCCACUGGAGAAGAUUCCGGGGUAGAUUAUGUUUCAGAAGCUCAUGAUCUGAAUUCAUUCGAUGGUAGCAGGCUUGAUGCUGUUGUUAAGCAUGUUGACAAUAAUGCAGGAAGCAGUGGGGAAGAUUUCACUGUUCAAGACGACUCAUGCAUGUCGUUUGAGUUCCAAGCUGAUAAGUUUGAAUCUUGUGAUCCCGUAGAUACUGGUGUUGCUUUGCAAUUGAGUGGGGUUAAGGGUGAUGACAGGGAAUGCUUGCCUAGUAACAGGGAUGAAUACAGUGUUGUUGCGGAUCAGCUGUACUUAACGGAUCAUUGUGAUGCUAAGCCUUGGGAUGCCCAUUACACAGUUCCAAUGAAAGGUGUUGAUCUUCUUCCUACAUGUAACAUCAUAGAAGAAAUUUUUGGGGAUGGAACUUCCAAUGAGUAGAUAAAAAAUAACUGUGGCAGCAGCUAGUGCCUUUCUAAGGUCCACAAGCAUGCCUUGAUGUACAGUGUGUCUGGCCUUUGUGUUGGAUCCUGGGAAUUUUCUAUCUAAGCACACCAUGCAAGAAUUUUUAUUUCUCGAGUAUAGGUGGUUUUUUACUUUUAUUUAUUAAAGUAGGAGGAAGGAAAAGGGGGAUUAUAAAAAAAAAAAAAGCAGAUUUCGGUUUUGGAUUUUGUUCAUGUACAUUCAUAUGUGGAAUUUAACAUUUUGAGAAUUUCGUUAUAAAGCUCCCAUUUUUGUCAUUUAUGACUUAAGCUGCUUUCCCGGGCAUAAAGCAUGGGCUUUUGGAAUGAAUGCAUCUAAUCCUGAGCAGGAAGCAUCAUUCCACAAUAUCUUGUCCUCAUCAUUAUACCCACUUAGCUGGCCAUCUUAAAUGCACAGAGAGUAAUCACUUGGGAGGCCAGAGUGGUUCAGAGAUGGUCUUAUUUCAACCUGGUAUGCUGUUAUGUGCUUGGUUGUUGUGGACUAGGUAGCAUUUGGCUGUGCAUUGCAGCUGCAAUCCCUGAUUACAAUUCUUCAGUGUAGUGUCUGUGUUGCCUUGUGUGGUCCAAAUUCAGUGGUUGGCAGUGGCAGGAAUUGGCAGAGCUGGCACUAAUCUUUGGUUUGAGGUUAGCGAAAAAAAUACUAACAAGGCAGUGUAAGGAUACAGAUGAAGGUGAGUACGCAAGUAGUAAAGUAAAAUGAUACCUCAUGUAACUAAAAAUCCAACGAUUAUUAUUGGCAAUUCGUGUUAUUAUUGAGUUAAUUGAUGUGAUACUAUUCAAGUGUUCAUCAACCAUAGUUUUGUCUGCCACAACAGCCUGCUCAUGUGACCCUUUUCUUU
rnacentral:misc_RNA from 1 species